rnacentral:rRNA from 1 species
AGGAUGAACGCUGGCGGCGUGCUUAACACAUGCAAGUCGAACGAUGAACCUCACUUGUGGGGGGAUUAGUGGCGAACGGGUGAGUAACACGUGAGUAACCUGCCCUUAACUCUGGGAUAAGCCUUGGAAACGGGGUCUAAUACCGGAUAUUUACGAUUGAUCGCAUGGUUGGUUGUGGAAAGAUUUAUUGGUUUUGGAUGGACUCGCGGCCUAUCAGCUUGUUGGUGAGGUAAUGGCUUACCAAGGCGACGACGGGUAGCCGGCCUGAGAGGGUGACCGGCCACACUGGGACUGAGACACGGCCCAGACUCCUACGGGAGGCAGCAGUGGGGAAUAUUGCACAAUGGGCGCAAGCCUGAUGCAGCGACGCCGCGUGAGGGAUGGAAGGCCUUCGGGUUGUAAACCUCUUUCAGUAGGGAACAAGGCCGGCUUUUGGUGGUUGAGGGUACCUGCAGAGAAGCGCGGCUAACUACGUGCCAGCAGCCGCGGU